rnacentral:rRNA from 1 species
CGCCUGUUUAUCAAAAACAUGUCUUUUUGUUAAUUAUUUAAAGUCUGGCCUGCUCCAUGAUUCAUUAAAUAGCCGCAGUAUUUUGACUGUGCAAAGGUAGCAUAAUCAUUAGUUUUUUAAUUGAAAGCUGGUAUGAAUGGUCGGAUGAGGAAGAAACUGUCUCAUUAUAAUUUUAAUUGAAUUUUAUUUUUAAGUAAAAAGGCUUAAAUUUUAUAGAAAGACGAGAAGACCCUAUAGAGUUUAAUAGAUUUAUGUUAUGAUAGAUUUAGGCUUUUAUUUUUAUUUUAAUAUAAAUUAUUUUGUUGGGGUGACAUUAGAAUUUGAAUAACUUCUUUUUAUAUUUACACUGAUUAGUGAAUAUAGGAUCCUUUGUUUUGGAUUAUAAGACUAAAUUACCUUAGGGAUAACAGCGUAAUUCUUUUAGAGAGUUCUAAUCAAUAAAAGGGAUUGCGACCUCGAUGUUGGAUUAAAGUUAAAUUUUGGUGCAGAAGCUAAAAUUUUGAGUCUGUUCGACUUUUAAAACUUUACGUGAUCUGAGUUAAGACCGG